AUCUAAAGUGUAAGAUUACAGAGGUUAUGAAAUUUUAUUGUUUACCAAUGACAACUAAUUAGGAAAAGAUGUCCAACAUUUAUUGUCCAAUUACGUAUUUAUAAAAACACUAUUUAUAUAUAUUUGAGAUCUUAUUCUCAUUUUAUUAGCUAUAUUUACGUAUCAAUCGAAAACUCUUCUGUACUUUUAAAACGUCAGAAAAGAUCAAUUCAAGGUAUAGAUGGCAUUUACAUCGAUAUUCGUCAACCGAGACGACGCAAGAUUUAUUUUAGUUUAGAAAUUAGUCAACGAUCGUAAAGGGAAUAUAGGUGUACGGACGUGCUUUUUCGCGUCACUUAAUCGGGCCAAACUUUUAAGUACUUGCUUAUCGGAGGUCAAGAACUGAAAGAAUGACCCGUGGAAAUCAGCGAGAGUUAGCACGAGCCAAAAAUAUGAAAAAGACUGUUAAAAAAUCUGCAGCUGAACAAGACAGCAAUAAGGGUCUUUCAUUAGAACAACGAAAAGCAAGGUUAUAUGCACAUAUUUUCUGUACUUAAUUUAAUUAUCAUUGAGAAUUACGUUAAAAAGCUAGAUAACGUUAGAUCCAUUUUAAUAGGAUUUUUAAAUGGGAUGCAGAACGAAUGAGGGAGAAACAACUAAAGAAACAACAAGAACAGCAAGAAAAAGUAAAGCAGGGUGCGAGAUAAUCCCUACUAUUGCAAAAUGUAAAUUGUUCUAUGGAAUUCAAGAAUAAAAUUUUAAGUAUGGUUUUAAAAUUCUUGAUUCUAAAACAUCAAGGCUAUGCUUAAUGUGAGUGCAUAAAGAAUUCAUAGUGUUUUUAAUUAUAGAAAAUAUCUUCAGACUGUAUAAUGCAAUAUAUAUUAUAAAACUAGAUACAGUUAAUCAUGUUCGCAAAACAUUAAUAGCCAGUGUGUAUAAAAAUAUUGUUAUCUAUAUUGUAAUGAUUAAAGAAAAUGCACAUUUGACUGGAUCACUUAGAUAUAAGGAUAUUAAUUAAUUAAGUAUAAGAGUAUUUAUAGUACUAACCUUUAAUUUGUAAAUUCGAGUUUUCAGUUAUUUAAUAUGAUGUAUAAGUGAUUCAUAAAUUGUACUACGUAAAAGAGACAUACAUUGUCAUUUUGUUUGGCUCAUAAUAAAUUGUUCAAUUUUAAAAUAAA